ACCCUCUCAGGGUCGCACCUGGAGAGUUUCCAGUAUUCUUCCAGCCUUGACUACGGGAGGAAAAGUCAGGCAGAGACAAACCCAUUCCAUUCCUAGCUUGGCCAGUGCCUACUGAGUGGAAGGCCAUCUGCUACAAGU